rnacentral:rRNA from 1 species
GACAGAGGGUGCAAACGUUGCUCGGAAUCACUGGGCGUAAAGGGCGUGUAGGCGGGUAGAUAAGUCGGGCGUGAAAUCCCUAGGCUCAACCUAGGAACUGCACUCGAAACUGUCUAUCUUGAGUGCCGGAGAGGAAAGCGGAAUUCCUGGUGUAGAGGUGAAAAUUCGUAGAUAUCAGGAGGAACACCAGUGGCGAAAGGCGGCUUUCUGGACG